rnacentral:lncRNA from 1 species
CCUGGGUCAGAACGACGCAGCUGCGCGGCAACCAGAGAGGGCGGCGGGGUCUUCUGUGUUGGAAGAUGAGCCCGCCAGAGGCAUACCCUCGGCCUUAACUCGCUGCAGGCGCUGGAAGAAGGGCUCUGGCGUCUUGUUCCCGACCCUCCGAUAAUUUACAGAGGGCACUAAAGCUGAUCCCCUGGGAGCUUCAGAAUUUAAUGACUUCGCCUGACGAUUUCCUAUUCUUUUCCACAAUGUGCUAAGUCAAAUUAUGGCCAAAUUACCAAUCGCAUGGUAAUUCAGCUUCUAAAUAUAUUUUGCAGAGUGUUUCCAAAAGUUAAAAAAAAAAAAAAAACUUCA